rnacentral:lncRNA from 1 species
UCUCACCUCAGGACUCCCUCCUCAAGGAAGCAACCACCCAGAGGGACGCAUCAGAACUGCGCUGAGCACCUUGAGACAUUCCCUCCUCCCUUCCUGCAAUGUCACCACGGGGGAGAUGCUCCUCCCGUCGCAGACAAGGCACAGAGGGGCUGCGAAGCUACUUGCAGUGGGAAGGGCCCACGAGAUCCACAGGGGAUGUGGAGGGGCCACAGCUGUCUGUCACACAAAGGAACCCACAUAAGGCUAUCAGCAGAUUUCUCAGCAGAGACCUUGCAGGCCAGGAGAGAACAAGAUAUAGUCAAAGCGCUGAAAGAAAGAAAUUGCCAGCUGAGCACACUUAACCCAGCAAAGUUGUCCUUCAGAAAUGAAGGGAGAUAAAGCCUUUCCUUUACAAAUAAAAGCUGAGGAAAUUCAUCACCACUCAAUUUGCCUUACCUCUCGAUUUGCCUUACAAGAAAUGCUAAAAGCUGUUAUUCAAGCUGAAAUGAAAAGAAGCUAAUUAGUAACACGAAAACAUGAAAAUAUACAAAACAUUGGUAAAGGUAAACAUAUAGUCAGAUUUGGAAUACUUUAACACUGUAAAUGUAAACAUGGUGGUGUGUUAAUCACUUUAAUA